CUCCAGUACUGAACCUAAGAGGGUGGAGGAACAAGUUUCUGCUCCUUGACGUCACCAACAGCACAGAAUGAGCUCAGGAAUCUGCUGUCCUCUCUACAGGGUUUGCAGAAGAUGCUGCAAACUCAGCAAGUGCUUCUGACAUUUCUGAGUCAACUCUGCAUGCAGCAGACCAGCCGCAGCCCAAGGCAACACCUCACACUCUCCCGGCUCUGUGGCCGCGCUGGACUGAGCCGUGUGUAUCUUGCUGUGCCGAUAGCAGGUCACGAAGAUGAAACUGAGGUUUAGCAGGGUCCAGCCGUCUGCAUGUCACCCGCUGCAAUCGGGAACUAAUUCAGAGGGAAACCAGUGGAAGCUGCCUCCUACAGUGGAGAAAAGCUGCCUGUCCCCGGAACCAGCUGAUUUCUCUGUAUGGAUAACCUGCAUCUCCUCCCAGCCCUGUCCCCUUCAGUGAAUCGAUGACCGAACAGAUACUUCGGUCAGUGCUGGCCCAGAAUGGAAAGCACACCCCUCCUCGUCCACAGAGAACGUAAUCCAUCCGCAACGUUAAUAACUGACUGAAGAGCCUUUUUUGACAUCCUCAUUUGUUCUGCUGUGUAAUAGCAUGAGAGCUUUCCGAGCUGUCGACAUCUGCUCCGCUCUGGAGAGCUGCAGGGCCGAGCCAGCGAAGCAAUCAUCAUUAUGCCCGCCUGGGCUGCAAAGGAUGCGAGAGAUGAGGAGGAAGACAAGGAAAAAUACGUCCGGUGCAAUGGUGCUCUAACCUAAUCCAGGAAUCCUGCUGAGGCCAAAUGUCUUGAAGUCAACCAGGACCCGGGGUGAGCCAGCCCUGCAUCCCAGGUGAAUCCCAGGGCCCUGCUUGGUCCUGAAGACAAUGCACUGCGGAUGGACUAGCCGUCAGCAAGGUGGGAGGCAGGUAAGGCCGUCCAGAGAGCAUCCCUUUCCUGCCCAGGCCAUCCACCUCCCCAGCCUGUUCCCACCGGGACCCACUCCUAAACUUGCGCCAUAACAUUCUCCCAACAUCCUCUACCGCUCAGGCCCUGUCCUCAGAGGCUGGUGGCAGGAUGAGCUAAAGACAAGGAUGCAGAACUUAGCACAGCCAGGCUCAAGAGCAGGAGUCCUGAGCUUUGCCGGUUCAGCCCUUCCCCAAGUUAACAUUAUAAACUGA